rnacentral:rRNA from 1 species
UACGUAGGGUGCUAGCGUUGUCCGGAUUUAUUGGGCGUAAAGAGCGUGUAGGCGGCCAGGUAGGUCUGCUGUGAAAACUCGAGGCUCAACCUCGAGAUGUCGGCGGAAACCAUCUGGCUAGAGUCCGGAAGAGGAAAGUGGAAUUCCUGGUGUAGCGGUGAAAUGCGCAGAUAUCAGGAGGAACACCAAUUGCGAAGGCAGCUCGCUGGGACGUUACUGACGCUGAGACGCGAAAGCGUGGGGAGCAAACAGG